rnacentral:tRNA from 1 species
CUCAACGGUAAGGUACUCGGCUUUUAA